rnacentral:rRNA from 1 species
UACAGAGGUCUCAAGCGUUGUUCGGAUUCAUUGGGCGUAAAGGGUGCGUAGGUGGCGCCGUAAGUCGGGUGUGAAAUUUCGGAGCUUAACUCCGAAACUGCAUUCGAUACUGCGGUGCUUGAGGACUGGGAGAGGAGACUGGAAUUCAUGGUGUAGCAGUGAAAUGCGUAGAGAUCAUGAGGAAGACCAGUGGCGAAGGCGGGUCUCUGGACAGUUCCUGACGCUGAGGCACGAAGGCCAGGGGAGCAAACGGG